UUCUAUUAGAAAAUACUUAAUAGUAAAAUCUGCUCAAUGAUUAAUUAAAUAGCCGCAAUUCGUGCUAAGGUAGCAUAAUCAUUUGUCUUUUAAAUGAAGACUAGAACAAAAGAUUUAACAUUUUAACUUAUUUACCCAAUUUAAAGAUUAAAUCUUUCUUAAAUGUAAAAAGACAUUUAUAUCCCAGAAAGACGAUAAGACCCUAUUGAACUUAACUGUAGUUAAACUGGGGCAGUAAGUUAAUUAUUAUUUUAAUAAAAAUAUAAAUAUUAUUAUCUAGUAUAAUUAAAUAAUUCAGUUACCAUAGGGAUAACAGCGUAAUAGAAUUUUAAAGAUCUUAUUCAAAAAUCAAAUUGCGACCUCGAUGUUGAAUUAAUAUGCUAAUUAAAGCAAAACUUAAAAAAGCAAGUCUGUUCGACUUUUAAAAAAUUACAUGAUUUGAGUUCAGACCGGCGUAAGCCAGGUCGGUUUCUAUCUUCUAAAUAGUUUUUUACAGUACGAAAGGACCUAAAAAUAUAAUU
rnacentral:rRNA from 1 species